GGAGGAGAUGGUACGUGCGACUCGUGAACCAGUUGAGACAGAAAGAGGGUGUACUGGCCCAGCUUUAACAGCACUGAACGUGUGAAAAGAGCAGCUGCUAACGAGGAGAAGCAUGAGCCAAACUGGCCAAGAUAUGACGUAAAGGUCGUAAGAACUUGUGGUAUGCCAAUUCAUAAAAUUCUUGUAUAAAAAAUAAUUGAAUGGUUGCUUCUCCUUCUGCUUGGAAUAACGUAUUAUUUCUAUGUUCUGAAAAUGCAUAUGAAAUUAAUUGUCUUGGCCUUGGAUUGUUUAAAAUAUUGCAUUUAUAUCUAUAGUAAUAAUUAUUAUUAUUAUCAUGUUCUGUGCAGCUUUACAGCUAAUUUGAAACUCAUGUUCAUUUUAACACAUUCAAUUUUAGACAACUACAAAGAUGCCAUUAAGCUUAUGACUCAAUAUCAGAAUGGCUGCAACACCUCUGAGCUACAGUCUGAGGCAGAGCAGGAGGGUAAGCUGCCAGAGAAAAGAUUCAGGAAGCCAAUCCAUCGUUUUGGGGACUCUGAUGAGAGUGAAGAAGAAGCCAGAAAAUGGUCACUUUGCAUCUCUGAGGAUGCCACGACCUUCCAAAUUGCCUGGUGCAUUUGAAGCCUCAUCCCCAAACCAAUUUCACUGGAAGACUUCAUCAUCUUGCAGAGUGCCAGGCAGCAGAGUAACUACUCCUCAACCUGGAGAAAACUGUCUAGCCUCGCAGCCUACCAUGGUUAACAGAUCACAACCACUCCUCACUAUGGCCCAGGAAUGGCAGACCCUCCACAACUCCCUCCACAACUCCCUCCACCCCCCGCACCAGUCCUCAACAUGCGGACAGCAGAGGAAGCCUGUUCAAGCCUGACCUACAGACCAACAUGGCGAGGGGGAUGAAUGGUCGAUACCAUUCCCUGCUCUGCGGCUGAGGUCCACAUCCUUAGCCUGCAUGAAACCAUUAAACAGCAACAAGACCAGCUUGUGGCAAAGGUGAACUACCUCAGCAGCAGGCUGAACAGCACCCCAGGGCCAGAUGUUGAGAGGCCUGAAAAUAUCCAGUUUCCCCUGGAACAAUUGGAGGCCGUGGAGGAAUUUGAAAUGUUUCUUGAAGGAACCGUCAAAUGGCCCAGCUCGACAGAGAUUCAUUUCUUCUUUGGCCACCAUUGGAGGCCAGGAUGUGAAGAGGGUGACCUGGAACAUCCUGGGCAGGCUCUUCACUGAUGAGGUGUCUCAUCAGAUCAACUGGAAGGGUGUUAAUAACAAAAAGCCCCUUCAGUAGGAUGGCAACGUAGACCUUGCUUUUCAGUACUGUGAGGAAAAACACUGUGACCCGGUCAGCCACGGAUGCAGAGGUCACCAAGCAUGCAAUCAGGUGGUUCAACCUGGCAGCAGAUCAGGCAACGAGGAGACGUGUCCCACCUCCAUCCACACAA